UUAAAUGGCUGUUUUUCUUCGUACCACUAUAAUUUUUUUUAUAAAUUUUUUAGUGAUUCAAAACAAACUAACUGAAGGAUGCAGAUGUCUUUCUUUAAAUUAUAAAAAUCAAAUAUUGAUUGCAGAUAUGGUUUUAAAAAUACAAGUUAAGGAAGAUCAAGAAUACAAUCUUCACUCAUAUUAUAAUCAUCUGUACAAUUUUACAGUGCUGAAAGUUUAUAAGGUGUCACGGAGAUUUUUACCGUACUUAAAUCAAAACUACUUGAUCACGCCAUGCAGCGAUUGCUGGUGUGGAAUUGAAAUGCGAUA